CUGCUUAUAUGAGUGACAUUCAUGUUAACAUCAACGGUCAGAGAAGAUCUAGCAAUAUUUCAUUGGUCGUUGGCACAAGUGUUGAACUGACCUGUGAAGGUGAUGUAACGUACGAGAACUCGAGAAUGCAGGAUAUACGCUGGUGUUUGAAAGUUGGAAGACACGCUUAUUUCAAUCCUUAUUUCUCAAACGUCAGUAUAACGAACAUAACAUCAAAGACGUGUUAUAAAAUGCAGAGAAGCCACGAUAAUCUAUACUAUUGAAAUAGUUGAUGGAAAAACGGAAUUUAUCUGUGAGUCUGGAUACAAGACAAGGUGUGGCACCGGAAGUGCAAUGGCACAUAUAUCAAUUUAUUCAGAGCCACUACAAGAACAUAAUAGAUUACCACCCUUCUUUUAUGUGUCAUUGUCGCUGUUCAUCAGCUCAGUGGUUGGAAUCGUGGUCAUCAUCACGAUUUUUGGAAGGAAUCGGAAAAGGAAAAGAGCUUUAAUGAAAGAGGAUACAAGGCAUCAUGCAUACCUUCAGAAAAUGGUCAAAAUGAGUUCUCCUGAGACUGGUAAUAUUUUCCCCCCAAUUUUACUUGAACUAUCGAAAGAAAGUUGUGGUGUACUGAUAUUGCUAUCUCAGUCAAAUUUCUUGCCAUUUAACCUUUUUUCACAAACUGAGGUGCAAUAAGGUUAACGUUCUGUAUAAAAGGAGCUAUUUUUGGACCUAUCUUCAGUUAAGUUCCUACAUUUUUUUUACAACGAUUUUGAUUUAUACGUGAAUAUGUCCAUACAUACAUAUCGUAUAUUGUACAUUUCUUAUAAUCUAUUUGCUUUUUCAGGAACAGAUGGAGACUAUAUUCAACCAAUACCAUCAAGUGAAGAGAUUUCCAAUGAAUAUGAAAUGGUUGAGGGAUACAUCGCUACAACAAACAACAAAAAGACAACCUCAAGGUGUCAGAUUCUAUGAAAUAAGAUCUUC